GUCCUUGAAAGUGAACAUGAAAGAGAAGUUCGUUACCAACGCUGACAAAUCAUUGUAGCCAUUCCUCCCAGCAACCAGAGCAAAGAAGGUUCCUGCUCCAGUGGCUGUCCUCACCCAUGGAGAAGGCUUCGGGAGUAACUUGAGGAAAAAUCUGGAGUCCCUUAGGCAUUUCUAAGCUGAGUUCAAUGCUGACUGGCAACUCCUGCGAUGCCACUGGUGCCAAACUGCAUCGGCCUCUACCAUUCCUUUGGAUUCAUCAGUUGCGAGGAGAGGGGAAGCCUGCUAGAUGGGCAACAGCUGGGAUACAACAUCCAUGGUUGACCCUAACCAAUGGAGGACCUGUAGUCCACUGAACUGUUGGAACUUCUGGGACAUCAGGAGCUGAGCACUUCCAACCGCACUUCGUAUUUUCCCCAGAACUACAGUAAAGCAACGGGCAGAGCCUGAGGAUUGAAUCUAAUCACCUGAUGAGCAGCAUCAGACCAUAUAGCUGAUAGUCACUGAUUGCAGGAGUCCACCUACAGGGCGAAUGAUUGAGGCAUUUCCUGAUUGCAAGUUCCUUCCGUCACACCUUGUGUAUGUUGUGAUCUCAUCAACGUAAGUGAUGUAUGCUGCUGUUGCUGCGACGACGCAAGUGAGCUGGGCUUGAUUACACCUUUUGGUGCUGACUGUGUGGAGUUCACACCAUCUCCUGAUGAUCACAUGACUCUGAUAAAAGUAAGGACGGUCAGGACGGGAAAUAAUUUCUUCCAUAAGGCCAUUAGGCUUCUGAACUCCCUGCUGCAUCACAUUUGAAGUGUCUCCAGUUAAUCUGUUCUGUACCCUAAAAUAUUGAAUUUAUGCUCUUUAGUUUGUUUACUUAUGUGUAAUGCAUCUGUAAAUUUUAUCCUUACUUUCCUAAGUUAUUGUAUAUUAUAUGCAUGUUAUGUGUACGACAGACCCUGGUCUGGAGAAAUGCUAUACAGGCAGUCCCCGGCUUACGUUCGAGUUCUGUUCCUGAGUCCGUCUUUAAGUCGGAACAGGUACAUCCAGUAUUAUUUAGCAUCAGUUAGUCAAACGUUUGUCUUAGUAUUUAGUAUAUAUUUUACCUUUCUAUGCAUAUAAAACACUUAAGAAACGUAUGUAUUCUAAUAAUUAAACCACUGUGUUGCU